AUUGAACGCUGGCGGCAGGCCUAACACAUGCAAGUCGAACGGUAACAGGAAGCAGCUUGCUGCUUCGCUGACGAGUGGCGGACGGGUGAGUAAUGUCUGGGAAGCUGCCUGAUGGAGGGGGAUAACUACUAGAAACGGUAGCUAAUACCGCAUAAUGUCGCAAGACCAAAGAGGGGGACCUUCGGGCCUCUUGCCAUCGGAUGUGCCCAGAUGGGAUUAGCUUGUUGGUGGGGUAACGGCUCACCAAGGCGACGAUCCCUAGCUGGUCUGAGAGGAUGACCAGCCACACUGGAACUGAGACACGGUCCAGACUCCUACGGGAGGCAGCAGUGGGGAAUAUUGCACAAUGGGCGCAAGCCUGAUGCAGCCAUGCCGCGUGUAUGAAGAAGGCCUUCGGGUUGUAAAGUACUUUCAGCGGGGAGGAAGGGAGUAAAGUUAAUACCUUUGCUCAUUGACGUUACCCGCAGAAGAAGCACCGGCUAACUCCGUG
rnacentral:rRNA from 1 species